rnacentral:rRNA from 1 species
UACGGAGGGUGCAAGCGUUGUCCGGAAUUACUGGGCGUAAAGCGCACGUAGGCGGACCGGAAAGUCAGAGGUGAAAUCCCAGGGCUCAACCUUGGAACGGCCUUUGAAACUCCUGGUCUUGAGUUCGAGAGAGGUGAGUGGAAUUCCGAGUGUAGAGGUGAAAUUCGUAGAUAUUCGGAGGAACACCAGUGGCGAAGGCGGCUCACUGGCUCGAUACUGACGCUGAGGUGCGAAAGCGUGGGGAGCAAACAGG